CUCUUUCCGUCGAAAUAUCUCUUUCUUUGGCCCAAGCUACUCUGUUUCUUCCCCCUUUUCUCUUUGUCACGCUAAGCUUCCCUCUUCACCAUUUUGUCUCCAAUCCGGUGUCCAGAAAUGUGUGCUUCCGUUUCCUUGCUGGUUCCCGUGUUCUGUUGGUUUCCUCUUGUCUCCGUGUGCUUCUUGUUUUUCAUACUCGCCUCUCUUGAACACAUCCACAACACAAAUCAAAAAUUUCCGGCUUAAAGUCUUGUACCUUGCUAUCCAGACACCCAGGGAGUCCGGCCAUGAACACGUUUACUGAACCUAGCCCUGGAUGAAGGCCGAGGCGCUUUGUUUUGCACCUUCAUGGUUUUUGUUAUAAAUGUUUUCAAAAAUAUUAUUAUUGAAAAAUAAUUUUAUAUUAUCAUUUUGGUUAAUCCAA